AUUGAACGCUGGCGGCAGGCCUAACACAUGCAAGUCGAACGGUAACAGGAAGCAGCUUGCUGCUUCGCUGACGAGUGGCGGACGGGUGAGUAAUGUCUGGGAAGCUGCCUGAUGGAGGGGGAUAACUACUGGAAACGGUAGCUAAUACCGCAUAAUGUCGCAAGACCAAAGAGGGGGACCUUCGGGCCUCUUGCCAUCGGAUGUGCCCAGAUGGGAUUAGCUUGUUGGUGGGGUAACGGCUCACCAAGGCGACGAUCCCUAGCUGGUCUGAGAGGAUGACCAGCCACACUGGGACUGAGACACGGUCCAGACUCCUACGGGAGGCAGCAGUGGGGAAUAUUGCACAAUGGGCGCAAGCCUGAUGCAGCCAUGCCGCGUGUAUGAAGAAGGCCUUCGGGUUGUAAAGUACUUUCAGCGGGGAGGAAGGGAGUAAAGUUAAUACCUUUGCUCAUUGACGUUACCCGCAGAAGAAGCACCGGCUAACACCGUG
rnacentral:rRNA from 1 species